rnacentral:rRNA from 1 species
UACGUAGGGGGCAAGCGUUGUCCGGAUUUAUUGGGCGUAAAGCGCUCGCAGGCGGUCCGAUGCGUCGUGCGUGAAAGCCCCCGGCUCAACUGGGGAGGGUCAUUCGAUACUGAUCGACUGGAAGGCAGGAGAGGGAAGCGGAAUUCCCGGUGUAGUGGUGAAAUGCGUAGAUAUCGGGAGGAACACCAGUGGCGAAGGCGGCUUCCUGGCCUGUUCUUGACGCUGAGGCGCGAAAAGCUAGGGGAGC